rnacentral:sRNA from 1 species
CACUUAAGACACUUAUGAAGUUUCUUGUUCUGAAAUUGCUGUACUGCAAUGAAGAAGAGGAGAAAGGUUACUUCAAAUCUUGAGAAGAUCCAUCUAGGCUAUCAUAAAGAUUCUUCAGAAGGAAAUGUUGCAGUGGAGUGUGACCAAGUGACCUAUACUCAUUCUGCAGGAAGACCAACUCCUGAAGCUCUUCACUGUUACCAGGAACUUCCUCCCUCUCCAGAUCAGAGAAAGCUUUUAAGUUCUUUGCAGUAUAAUAAGAAUUUGCUAAAAUAUUUAAAUGAUGAUAGGCAGAAGCAACCAUCUUUUUGUGAUUUACUUAUCAUAGUGGAAGGAAAAGAAUUUAGUGCACAUAAAGUAGUCGUUGCUGUCGGCAGCAGUUAUUUUCAUGCGUGUUUGAGCAAAAAUCCAAGCACUGAUGUUGUCACCCUGGAUCACGUAACACAUUCAGUUUUUCAGCAUUUGCUUGAAUUUCUUUACACAUCAGAAUUUUUUGUGUACAAAUAUGAAAUACCUCUUGUUUUAGAGGCUGCAAAAUUUUUGGACAUUAUAGAUGCAGUGAAGUUGUUAAAUAACGAAAAUGUUGCCCCUUUUCAUUCAGAGCUAACUGAAAAGUCAUCACCAGAAGAAACACUAAAUGAAUUAACUGGAAGACUAUCAAAUAAUCAUCAGUGCAAAUUCUGUAGUAGACAUUUUUGUUAUAAAAAGUCUUUAGAGAAUCAUUUGGCUAAAACCCAUAGGUCCCUUUUAUUAGGGAAAAAACAUGGGUUAAAAAUGCUGGAGAGAAGUUUCUCCGCAAGAAGAUCAAAAAGGAAUCGGAAGUGCCCUGUUAAGUUUGAUGACACCAGUGAUGAUGAACAGGAAAGUGGUGAUGGGUCAGACAAUUUGAAUCAAGAAAAUUUUGAUAAGGAAAAGUCAGAUAGAAAUGAUUCUGAGGACCCUGGAAGUGAAUAUAAUGCUGAAGAAGAUGAGCUAGAGGAGGAGAUGUCAGAUGAGUACUCUGACAUUGAAGAACAAAGUGAAAAGGAUCAUAAUGAUGCAGAAGAAGAACCUGAGGCUGGUGAUUCUGUAGGAAAUGUUCAUGAGGGGUUAACUCCAGUAGUCAUUCAGAACAGCAACAAAAAAAUAUUGCAGUGUCCUAAAUGUGAUAAAACAUUUGACCGAAUAGGAAAAUAUGAGAGCCACACCCGUGUUCACACAGGUGAGAAGCCCUUUGAGUGUGAUAUUUGUCACCAGCGCUAUUCAACAAAGUCUAACCUAACUGUUCACAGAAAGAAGCACAGUAAUGAAACAGAAUUUCAUAAGAAGGAGCACAAGUGCCCUUAUUGUAAUAAACUUCAUGCAAGCAAGAAGACUUUAGCCAAGCAUGUUAAGAGAUUUCAUCCUGAAAAUGCACAAGAAUUUAUUUCCAUUAAGAAGACUAAGAGUGAAAGUUGGAAAUGUGAUAUUUGUAAGAAAUCUUUUACUCGAAGACCACACUUGGAGGAACAUAUGAUUCUACAUUCUCAAGAUAAACCUUUUAAGUGUACCUAUUGUGAAGAACAUUUUAAAUCACGGUUUGCUCGGUUAAAGCAUCAAGAAAAGUUCCAUCUGGGUCCUUUUCCAUGUGAUAUAUGUGGUCGCCAGUUUAACGACACUGGAAAUUUGAAACGUCAUAUAGAAUGUACUCAUGGUGGAAAGAGAAAAUGGACUUGCUUUAUCUGUGGAAAAUCAGUACGAGAAAGAACUACUUUGAAAGAACAUUUGAGAAUCCACAGUGGAGAAAAGCCUCACCUUUGUAGUAUUUGUGGGCAAAGUUUUCGUCAUGGAAGUUCGUAUAGACUUCACUUACGAGUACAUCAUGAUGAUAAAAGAUAUGAGUGCGAUGAAUGUGGAAAAACAUUUAUCCGUCAUGAUCACCUUACAAAGCACAAAAAAAUACAUUCAGAUUGAUGUUCAGGAAGUGCUAAGAGAGCCAACUCUGUGAGCACAAUAAUGGGAAAGAGCCAUCUCUAUGAGCACGGUAGAACAGGUGAAAAAGCUCAUCAGUGUGAAGAAUGUGGAAAAUGUUUUGGUCGUAGGGAUCAUCUCACUGUUCAUUACAAAAGCGUACACCUUGGAGAGAAAGUGUGGCAAAAAUAUAAAGCAACAUUUCAUCAAUGUGAUGUUUGUAAGAAAAUUUUUAAAGGCAAAUCAAGUCUGGAAAUGCAUUUUCGAACGCAUUCAGGUGAAAAACCAUACAAGUGUCAAAUUUGCAAUCAGUCUUUUAGAAUUAAGAAAACAUUAACAAAACACCUGGUUAUUCAUUCUGAUGCCCGACCUUUCAACUGUCAGCACUGUAAUGCAACAUUUAAGCGGAAAGACAAGCUGAAAUACCACAUUGACCAUGUUCAUGAAAUAAAAUCUCCUGAUGAUCCUCUCAGUACUUCUGAGGAAAAACUUGUAUCCUUGCCAGUUGAGUACUCAUCUGAUGACAAAAUCUUUCAAACAGAAACAAAACAAUAUAUGGACCAGCCCAAAGUUUAUCAGUCGGAAGCCAAGACGAUGUUACAGAAUGUAUCUGCUGAAGUAUGUGUUCCAGUAACUCUGGUUCCAGUUCAGAUGCCUGACACUCCGAGUGACCUAGUGCGUCAUACUACCACACUCCCACCAUCUUCUCAUGAGAUUCUGUCACCACAGCCACAGUCAACUGAUUAUCCACGAGCAGCGGAUUUAGCUUUUCUGGAAAAAUAUACUCUUACUCCUCAACCUGCAAAUAUAGUUCACCCAGUUCGACCUGAACAAAUGCUAGAUCCUAGAGAACAAUCUUAUCUUGGAACAUUACUGGGCCUUGAUAGCACUACUGGUGUUCAAAAUAUUUCUACUAAUGAGCAUCAUUCAUGAGUAAAUCUAAACAUUCCACAGAUUUUUGGAUGGUUAUAUGCUAAUGGUAGAGAUGAUAGCUUUUAAAUUUGUGGGGCUGCUAUUUUCUUGUUUUCUCUAGUUUCUCAAGUCCUCAGAACAGUUUCAAAUCAAGAAAACUAUGUGUCUCUGUUUACUGAACAUGAAUAUUUGGACAAAAUUUCUGGCAUAAUAUUUGAAGUGCACAUUUUUGUGAUUUUUAAAGAUUAUUUAGUGCUAACUUUUAAUGGUUUCUUAAAUUUUUUGCAAUUAUUAGCUGCUGAUAUUAUGGAAGUAUUUUUUUUAAUCAUCAGCGGAAAUUUUUAUUCUUCUUUAGUCUCAUUCCUCUCCUUCUUCUUCCUAGCCCUUCUUACAAACAAGUUUGAGGACCAUGUGACCUUUAAGAAGGAAUUAAGAGUACACUGAUAAUUGCAACUGUUUCUUAUCCUAACUUAAGAUUCAUUAUUACGUUAUACAAAUUUUUAAAAUUGAAAUUAGGAAUUUGAAUUUACAAGAAUGCCUUGGAUAUUUCUGUGUUGUCUUUCCAUUCAUAUAUAAUUUUAGGUUAUCAUUAUCCUUUGGACUUUCGAUAUACUCAAAGCCAGAAAGCUUAACUAAUGUAAGAUUAGCUGUUAAAUGUAGGACUGAAAUAAUAAUCCAGAUAAUUGGUUUUUGCCUAUACUUCAAUUGUUAUGAAUAAGAAAGGCAAACAUAAGUCUGGGCAUUAAAUUAUACAAACUGAAAAUGUGUUACAAGAAAAAUAUGAGAGUUUUAACUAGAUGUUUUUCAAGGUAAGUUCACCUUUUGUACUUUACUAUUUAUUUCAGAAAUGUUGACAAUACAACAUAGCAUAUAUCUUCAUCUCACUAAGAAAAGAGCAGUUGUAACUCAAUGAAAUUUAAUUAAACAUGCUACUUUUGAUUUC